rnacentral:sRNA from 1 species
AAGCCCUGAGUCCGGGUCUCUCAGAACUAAAUUAAAAAAUGUAAAUUUGUACAUAAACACUUUUAGACGGAUUAUAUCGAAAAAAUAACAAAAAAAAAUAUAAAUUUUGAAAUGGCUGACCCAGACACAACCGUAGGACCCUUUCCACCAAGUGAUGAAUUCAGCUGCUGUGCCACACCUUCGGGGUCUUCAGUAAUUAAUUUUUGUAGAUUCUUUAUGGUCACAGGCAUACUUUUAGUUACAUGGAUUAGAUUAAAUUAUUUGACUAUUACCU